UGGUCUAAAGGUUUUGGAGAGAAAGUGACUGCAUGUUGGCAAUGUAGUACACCAGUGUUUCAUGGUUUUUGAAAUCUGAAUUCUUUAAAUGAUAGGUUUGAUUUCUAAUGGAUUGUGGAAAUUUAUUGUCACUCUAUAGAUGUGAGAAUCUCUGAUACCAGCUAAUGUUUUCAUUUCUUUCUUUGUUGAUUUCAAAUAGAUCAGAGGUUGGAUUUAUGCAAACUUGGGCCAAAGGACAGUUAGAAGACAUAAGUCUUCAGUCCAGAGACCAAAUUGGCACAGGAGGACAAGUUGUGGACUGCAGUCGUUUAGUUGAUAAUGAUUUACCAGACAAGUAAGAGAUCUCCUGGAAGCCAGGAUCCUUUAAAAAUCCUGGAAUAGGGAGGAGCCAAGAUGGCCGAAUAGGAAGAGCUCCGUCCUACGGCUCCCAGCAUAAGCGACACAGAAGACGGGUGAUUUCUGCAUUUCCAUCUGAGGUUCUGGAGGAGGUCAAUGAAGUUCUGCUUGACCUCUAUGUCCAGGGAGUCCUUCAUCUCUGCCAGGUGCUUCAUGGACUCACUGGCAUCGAGCAGUGCGUCACUGAAGUUGGACUCGUUGCCCAGCUCCUCCUGGUGGCGGAUCAGGCCCUCGCUCAGGAACCCCUCCGACUGCGGGUAGCCGGGGUUCUUCACCUGGCCCCGGAUCUUGCACACCGUGUUGAGCAUGGUCAGCUUAGCCUGCGAGGCUGGGUUGGGCUGCAGGUACUUGAUGGUCCUUGCCAGCAUUUCCGUCACCGCCUUGCUGAUGACAUCUCCAUCUCUUUGAAGUCAUCGUCCAACUUGGUCCCGUCAGCCCCUCCGACCUUCUCACUGACCAGCUGGCUCGCCUUGUAGAACUGCUUCUUCAGCCCUGCAACCGACAUGCUGCCUCCCACCGCCGAACCUCCCGCCCGGACUCCACCAGCGACAGGCUCCCAGGUGCUGUGACCCUCUGCGUGCCUCAGAGGCCCCACCACGUGCUUGCCAGCUCUGCACCUGCCCUGGCACCACCUCGAGUUUAUGAUUCUUUAGUCUCCUUCAAUAUAGAUCUGUUCCCAGGAUUGUUUUAAAGUAUACUGACAAAACUUUGAGACUGUACAUGACCUGAGAUAUACAUUAUCCUUACUUGAGAAUAGUAAUUUUUCAAUACACAUUAAAGAUCAUUACACAUGAGCCAAGACAAAUGAGCUGGCCUACUUACUUUGUAUACAAAUGUGUAAACUCCUCAAGAGUUCCAAUAAUGAACUCCAAUAAGGAAAUUAGUUCAGUGUCUUUAUGUCCUUGGUGACAAAUGGUUACGGACAAUCAGAGCAUUUUUCCUAUCCACUAAUGGUCAAGAAAAAAGCAGACAGAUCCUCACUAUCUUAGAGAACUAAGUGAGAAAGUUGGUCGAUGAAGAGGACUUCAUCCAGAGAGGAAGGGAUCUAGCUCACAGGGAAGAUGCUGCAGGAGGCUGAGGAAAGUGAGGCCAGAGCAGUAAAACAGAUCUGACAACCUGGUGAAGAUAAGAAAGUGACCUGACAAAAAUGAACGGAGCAGAGUGCUAAAAAAUGAAGGGCCCUUUCCAUGCUAAUCUUGCAUGAUGCCCUCAACCAGCC
ensembl:lncRNA